rnacentral:rRNA from 1 species
AGCUACAGGCUUAACACAUGCAAGUCGAGGGGCAGCAUGGUCUUAGCUUGCUAAGGCCGAUGGCGACCGGCGCACGGGUGAGUAACACGUAUCCAACCUGCCGUCUACUCUUGGACAGCCUUCUGAAAGGAAGAUUAAUACAAGAUGGCAUCAUGAGUCCGCAUGUUCACAUGAUUAAAGGUAUUCCGGUAGACGAUGGGGAUGCGUUCCAUUAGAUAGUAGGCGGGGUAACGGCCCACCUAGUCUUCGAUGGAUAGGGGUUCUGAGAGGAAGGUCCCCCACAUUGGAACUGAGACACGGUCCAAACUCCUACGGGAGGCAGCAGUGAGGAAUAUUGGUCAAUGGGCGAGAGCCUGAACCAGCCAAGUAGCGUGAAGGAUGACUGCCCUAUGGGUUGUAAACUUCUUUUAUAAAGGAAUAAAGUCGGGUAUGGAUACCCGUUUGCAUGUACUUUAUGAAUAAGGAUCGGCUAACUCCGUGCCAGCAGCCGCGGUAAUACGGAGGAUCCGAGCGUUAUCCGGAUUUAUUGGGUUUAAAGGGAGCGUAGAUGGAUGUUUAAGUCAGUUGUGAAAGUUUGCGGCUCAACCGUAAAAUUGCAGUUGAUACUGGAUAUCUUGAGUGCAGUUGAGGCAGGCGGAAUUCGUGGUGUAGCGGUGAAAUGCUUAGAUAUCACGAAGAACUCCGAUUGCGAAGGCAGCCUGCUAAGCUGCAACUGACAUUGAGGCUCGGAAGUGUGGGUAUCAAACAGGAUUAGAUACCCUGGUAGUCCACACGGUAAACGAUGAAUACUCGCUGUUUGCGAUAUACAGCAAGCGGCCAAGCGAAAGCGUUAAGUAUUCCACCUGGGGAGUACGCCGGCAACGGUGAAACUCAAAGGAAUUGACGGGGGCCCGCACAAGCGGAGGAACAUGUGGUUUAAUUCGAUGAUACGCGAGGAACCUUACCCGGGCUUAAAUUGCAGAUGAAUUACGGUGAAAGCCGUAAGCCGCAAGGCAUCUGUGAAGGUGCUGCAUGGUUGUCGUCAGCUCGUGCCGUGAGGUGUCGGCUUAAGUGCCAUAACGAGCGCAACCCUUGUUGUCAGUUACUAACAGGUUCCGCUGAGGACUCUGACAAGACUGCCAUCGUAAGAUGUGAGGAAGGUGGGGAUGACGUCAAAUCAGCACGGCCCUUACGUCCGGGGCUACACACGUGUUACAAUGGGGGGUACAGAGGGCCGCUACCACGCGAGUGGAUGCCAAUCCCCAAAACCUCUCUCAGUUCGGACUGGAGUCUGCAACCCGACUCCACGAAGCUGGAUUCGCUAGUAAUCGCGCAUCAGCCACGGCGCGGUGAAUACGUUCCCGGGCCUUGUACACACCGCCCGUCAAGCCAUGGGAGCCGGGGGUACCUGAAGUGCGUAACCGCGAGGAGCGCCCUAGGGUAAAACUGGUGACUGGGGCU